AUAACGAUUAUAACAAAACCCUCUCUUUAGUUCUACCCAAGCACACAGACCACCUCCGUUGCUUCCCCUGCAACUCCCGUCCCACAUCUCUCUCUCUGGUGCUCCCAUCUCAAAACCUUUAAAAGGGACUUCACGUUUUCUCUCCUUUCUAUCUUUCUUCCUCCUUCUCACUUGCAUGAGUUCAGGUAUCAUCAGAUCGACUACCCAACCUAUUCCUUUAUAUAACAAAAAUAAGGAUUAUAACAAAACCCUAUCUCUGGUUCUACCCGAAGAGCCUCUCGCAGACUCGCACAGAGACGACUAUGGCGGAAAAGCUCUCAGGGUGGUUCCGAUAGCUUUCGAAGAGCUGCUAAUCACAGGUUAUCCAAAUUCCCAAGCGUACAGACCACCUCUGGUGCUGCGAUCUCACCUUAUAAAGCGACUCCACGUUUUCUCUCCUUUGUAGCUUUAUUCCUCGCUUGGGUUCAGCUUCCUAAUCAACCACACUUUCCUCAAUCCUAAAAAUUAGAAGUCAAUUGAUCGAGGACGGAUCCAUCUUCGUUCCUCACCAAAUCACUGGAUCAAUUAGUACGUCUGAUCUUUCUAUACUACUCUACUACCAUACGAAUUAAUUGUGAUAGCUAUUAUUAGAUCGACUACUCGAGGAGAUGGUGAUUGGUACCAGGGGUCGAGGUCGAGGUCGAGGUCGGAAGAAGAUUAGGCAUAAUGAUGAUGAUGAAGAUCCAUUGAUAUCAUUAGUGGUAACUGAAGAUGUGUUGAUCAAAGUGUUUUCAUGGCUCCCCGUAAAGUCCCUCCUCAGGUUCAAGUGCCUAAGUAAACGAUGGCUUGAUAUCAUAUCUAGUGAUCCUUAUUUAAUUCGCCUGCAUUCUCAGCCGCAAUCGGCCAAGUCCAAAUCACCUCUUCUCUUUUGCCUAUCAAAUCCAUCUACUCGUUAUCAACCAUUUGUUCAAUCCUCUUUUGACAUGGAAACAGGAAGGGAGUUGAGCAAAUUCAAACUGCCGGUGAAAAUUUUUUCAUGCUUCUUCAUCUUGAAUACCCGAUUUGAUUUGGUUUGUUUCAAAACAUCAAGUAACUCCAUGUGUGCAAUCCAACUACACACGAACUCUUAACAUUGCCAGAAUAUUACCCCUUUUUUGAGGGUUCCUUGGGUUUUGGAUAUGUUGAGUCUACCAACGAGUACAAAAUAGUCCAUAUGGUUAAUAAUUUCUGUGGUCACCAUCUUAUCUAUUGCCUACCAGAUCUACCUACAGAAUGCAGGGUUUUCACCUUGGGGAUGACAAGGGACUCUCCUUCUUCUUAUGCUUCUCCUUGGGCUUGGAAAAAAAUUGGAAAUUCCCCAUUCCAUAUUAGUGGUGACCAAUGUCCAGCUUUUGUUGACGGAGCUCUUUACUGGCUGAUCGACCGCAAACGCCAUCCUGAGAUUAUGAUCGAUAGCAAAAACACAAUCUUGUCAUUCAACUUGGAGAGUGAAGAAUUUGGUUUACUUCCACGUCCCAGUGGUUGUCGUGAUCUUUCAACUAUCCGUCCUUUCAAGGGUCUUCAAUUGGUGGAGUUGAGAGGGUUACUCUGUCUUUCAUGCGUUGCAGGUAACAGAAUGGAUAUAUGGAUGUUGAUAAAAGACUACCACCACUAUAAUCAGACCCCUACAUUUACGUGGGUAAAAGAGUAUACCAUUGAUCUCACUCCCAUGGUGAAUGACUUGUGAAUGUCAUGUCCUUGGGAAGUUCCCGUCACUAUACUCCGGGCCCUCUAUAAUCACUAUCAACGUUAUGUUCCUCGGGACAUAAUGCAAGAUGAUGAUGGGAAUAUUAAAGUGUUGCUUCAAACGACGAAUGCAUUAUCGUUGUUCUAUUAUUAUCAUCCCCAAACUGGAAGUUUUACUAAUUUAAUUUACGAGGAAAAUAGAAAUCUAUUCAUCAGUUUCUAUACUGAGAGCUUGCGGUCACUGAGACAUGUACUACAGGUAACAUUUUGUUGGCAAUUUAAUUGAUUUCUGAAUGUGUUUGAUUUGAGUUAAUUAACACGCUUUAUUUUAUUUGGAUAUAACUGUAUUAACCCAUUAUAAAAGUCUAUGUUCUUCAGUAUUUUCUUUAA